ACAGGGAAAAUGGAGCCUUGCUAUUUCCUUAGAAGUGAGGCAUUUUAUUUUCGGAUGCUGUUGGCAGUAUUUCAAGACAAUGAUGGGCUGCUGGAGGAAGGACACUAACAUCAUCCAUGCCUAUUCUGUGCCGGGCACGUGGGAUUUCCAGCAUUGUCCCACAGAAUCCUCAUCACACCCCUGCGAGUUAAUGAUUGAGUACCUUGUACAUGAAGAAUCUUACAGAGGAAAUGGUGAAGGAGAGACUGGAACGAAGCUCUGUUCAACCCUAAGACUCCUUGCUUCAUUUAACCAUCAGGCUUUACUAAGUCAAGGUGAACGAGAGUGGGAGAAGCCUAGCACCUGGAGAUGAUGCUAACCUGGAGAAGCAGUACUUUGCAGGUGACAUAUCUUGGGAGGAUGGGACACAGGGUGGCUACAGCUCACCCAGAACCAGUCCUUCAGGCAAGAUCAGGUGCCUCAGGAGCCAGCAGUUGAGCGCUAUGGGAGCUCUUGGGUCCAGAGUGGGUGGAGACAAGCAGACUUGGUCAAUAUCCAUUGGCCUCUCUCGGAUUGGUUCAGGAACCUCAGGGGGCGGGGCUUAAGCCUCAGGGAGCUGGAGCUGCUUGGUGCUGCUACCCCAGGGCUGGAGUCUCACGCUGUGACUUCUGGGACUUUGGCUUAGUGAUUUCACAACCUUGAGCCUCAGUUUUCUGGAAAGUGGAGAUAAUCUGAGUAUAUUCAAAUAUUAGUAUAGUAUAUUAUUAGAUAAUAAUUAAUUGUGUCGUUGGGAGGUUCGGUGAAGGGAUGCACGUGAAGGGUUAACAUGGGGCAGGGAAGGAUGGGUGCUCCAUAAAUAGCAGCAUAUUUUUGAGAGAUUACUACUCAGGGGAACCAGAGAAUCUUUUUCUAUUUUCUCUCCCAUUUCCUACUUUGGGAGGAAAGUGGGAGUGUAUUCAAGGGAGUAAAUAUAAUUCCUGUCUCGCCUCGCGUUUGCGCACUCUGAAUGCUUUUUAUUGGUUUUAUGGUUCACAACUCAUUUCACAGUUGUAAUUUGUCUCUUUCCUGGAAAAUAUUAAACUGUCAUAUAAAAGCAGUAGAUUUCUCAUGCUAGAAAUUUUGUCUGUGCUGUGCAUAAUAUUUUCAGAGUUCAUUCAUGUUGUAGCAUGUAUAAAAUCUCAUUUUCUGUACUGCUUUUUUUUUUUUUUCUUUUGUGGUAAGGAAUUGAGCCCAAGACCUUAUGCAUGCUAAGCCUGCUCGCUACCAUUAAGCUACAGCCCAGCCUUAAUUUGUUACUGUUAUACUUAUUUUCUUAUCACUUUUCUUCACUUGAAGGAAUGUAUUUAGAUCUAUUCCCAAGUUUAAGAGAAUCUUUCCAGACUUUUAUACUGGCCAACUUAAUUAUAUUUAGAUCAGUAAGGUAAGGUCACAAGAGCACAAGAGUUUAAUUUGUCACCAAGUUGGAGUAAAUACUGUAAUAAACAGAGUUUACUACUUUC